UACGUAGGGUGCGAGCGUUGUCCGGAAUUACUGGGCGUAAAGAGCUCGUAGGUGGUUUGUCGCGUUGUUCGUGAAAACUCACAGCUCAACUGUGGGCGUGCGGGCGAUACGGGCAGACUGGAGUACUGCAGGGGAGACUGGAAUUCCUGGUGUAGCGGUGGAAUGCGCAGAUAUCGGGAGGAACACCGGUGGCGAAGGCGGUUCUCUGGGCCUUACCUGACGCUGAGGAGCGAAAGCGUGGGGAGCGAACAGG
rnacentral:rRNA from 1 species